rnacentral:misc_RNA from 1 species
CACAGGAGCGCUUGAGGGUAAAACUGGUGACUGGGGCUAAGUCGUAACAAGGUAGCCGUACCGGAAGGUGCGGCUGGAACACCUCCUUUCUGGAGAUACAAGACUUUGAGAGGUUAAGAUGCUUAAGGGAGCGAUUCCUUAGGAUUGAGAUCUCAUCAAGACCUAUCUCUAAGAUUGGUGCUAUUUCUUCUUACAAGUCUAUCAGACGCAGUGAGGCAUGGAUGAGUGAUCGUCAGUAGGUAAUGCGAGCUACAGUAUAUAGUAGCCGACACGAUGAAUAGAGUAUUAGUUAUGAAAUCCAUAUAACAUGGAGAAUCGAUGAAGCGAGAGCGACCCUGAGGCAACGCUCAGAGGCUGUCGGUCCGUAAGGCAGGCAGGGGAUAGAGAGCGGUCUCGAGACGUCGUCCACGUGUAGAGCGAUAACCCAUGAUAGGAUAUACGUCCUAGGUCAUGCUUAGGUAUGAUGAACUAGAUAGUCCUAUAGCUCAGUUGGUUAGAGCGCUACACUGAUAAUGUAGAGGUCGGCAGUUCAACUCUGCCUGGGACUACGAGUGACGACUGACUUGUAUAUCUUAAGACUUAAGAUGGACGGGGGAUUAGCUCAGCUGGCUAGAGCACCUGCUUUGCAAGCAGGGGGUCAUCGGUUCGAAUCCGAUAUUCUCCACACAGAUGCUGAGAGCAUCAAGUGAUCUUUGACAUACGUAGCAAUAGAAACAAUAGAAACGAGUAACGAGCGUACUUAGGAAUAAGUACGAACUAACAAAGAAUACAAAGCGAGUAACGAUUUUAGAUCGUGCGCUAAGUAGUAUAACUCAACUGAGAUUGUAUUGACGUAAGUUGAUGCAAGGCUCAAGGCGAAAAGUUAUAAGGGC